GUAAUAUCUGCAAGAAAAAAAUAGGUUUUUCUUCAGAGGCGGUGCUGCGCAUGCGUUUAUUUGGCUGCCAAAAAACGACUGUCCUCCAUUUUGCAAAGAGAUCUGCACUUUUGACUUUUAACGUUACUGAUUGGAUCAGGAAAUGCCUGUGAGGCUUGGGUAUUCAGGCAAGCUACAGGUCAAAGAUGCGUAACCUUGGAUGUCCAGUGACCGCUGUUUUCCAGAAGAAGAAGGUCCAGAAGAAGGUUUGAAGGACAUAAAAUUGCUAAACAUUUGAGGAUUUUGCAAGGUGUAGACAGAGACUGUACAUCUGAGGAGGGAGGCAGCCAUCAAGACCCUGUGCCUUUAUUUAGGUGAUGAUUCUCUCAUACAUGUACAUGGAUAUCCAUGGCAAGGAGGUGUCAAGAGAAAACCACCCCUUGGAACAUGAGGACAUCGGCAUUGCUGUGGAUGGAGGCAUCAUUUUGGAGGAACCUUGGUCUGUUGCACAAGACUGUGCAGUGAAGCCAGAGACUUUCUAAUGAGGAGACACAGCACUCGAAAAAUCCUCCAUAGA